rnacentral:rRNA from 1 species
GGGGGAUAUUGCACAAUGGAGGAAACUCUGAUGCAGCAACGCCGCGUGAGUGAUGAAGGUUUUCGGAUCGUAAAGCUCUGUUGCCAGGGAAGAACGUCUUCUGGAGUAACUGCCAGGAGAGUGACGGUACCUGAGAAGAAAGCCCCGGCUAACUACGUGCCAGCAGCCGCGGUAAUACGUAGGGGGCAAGCGUUGUCCGGAAUUAUUGGGCGUAAAGCGCGCGCAGGCGGCUGUUUAAGUCUGGUGUACAAUCCUGGGGCUCAACCCCGGGUCGCACUGGAAACUGGACAGCUUGAGUGCAGAAGAGGAGAGUGGAAUUCCACGUGUAGCGGUGAAAUGCGUAGAGAUGUGGAGGAACACCAGUGGCGAAGGCGACUCUCUGGGCUGUAACUGACGCUGAGGCGCGAAAGCGUGGGGAGCAAAC